rnacentral:misc_RNA from 1 species
UAAUAAGUGUUUUAUGGCACUUUUUAAAUCCACUAUCCACCUUGUGUGCAAUGUCGGUCGAUCUUCUUCAUGGAGAUCGACCAAACAUCAACCUUUAUCUUUUAACUCUUUGUCUGAAAAAUAUUAUGAAUAAACAAUUCAAAAUA